rnacentral:misc_RNA from 1 species
UCCAGCCAUCUCAUCAAUUGAUAUUGUUCCAUCAUUAGCUUUCUUUGCGAGGGUGUUGAUCUCCUUCUCUAUCUCAGCAAAAUUCAUCUUAUCCGCAUUACGAAUAACUGGGACAACAAGGCCCUGGAUUGAAUAGGUUGAAAACAUCAAGUAUCAUAUGAAUAAGAUGAAAACAUCAAGUACCAUAUGAAUAAGAAUCCGAUUCAUACAAAUAUUUUCAUUCCUCAUGCUUUAUGAUUAAAUAGGAAUCUUUUUCUCAAAAUUUCACAUGCAACUUCAGCUAAAUAGAAAGAAGCGGUGAAGAACAGUAGCUGUUUUCCCUUUUUCAUAUGUGGGGCCAGAGAACCUUUAAUAAAAUCAUAGUAGUUAUUUUCUCUUUUUUCUUUCUCUUUUUUAUUUUUGAAUUCAGAAUUUUCAUGACUCAAAAUGAAAACAAAAAAAGGGCAUUUUAAACAUUAAGUUAUUAUUUUAAAAAAUAGAAAUUAAAUUUCCAGACACACAAGUACCAAAUGCAGCAAAUUCUGUCCGUGUUUAUUAGCAUAAGAAGCUAAUGAGUUCAGAAAGAUGAAGGCAAACCUUCGGAGUGCCAACAGCAAUACUGACGUCUACAUAAUCUCUAUAUAUAAUAUCAUCCCCAUCAAUAACUGCAUUUAUAAUAGGUUGAUUCUGAAGCCCACUUACAGCAGCCUUUACAAAUCCUGACAUAAGGCCCAACUUAACUCCAUGCUUUUCAACAAAAGCGUCCUUAUAGUCAGAACGGAGCUUCAUCAAGUUAGUCAUGUCAACUUCAUUGAAUGUAGUUAACAAUGCAAAUGUGUUUUGAGAGUCCUUCAAUCGCGUUGCAACCCUUUUCCGGAGCCUUGUCAUAGGAACUCGUCUUUCCCUUUCCUUAGGAGGAAGCUGAGGUUCUCUUGCAGAGAGUUUAGGUGGUGCUGGUGCUGGUGCUUUAGGCUUCUCUGUUGCAGGAGCAGUUUCAACUUUAGGCUUUUCCUCUUUCUUUCCUUGAGGAGCAGAUUCCUUCUUAGGGGGAGGUUUCUCUGUUAUUUUCUCAGAGGGAGCAACAUGAGCUACACCUUCACCAGACUUUGAAACAACAGCAACCUUAGUUCCCGGUUCAACAGUCUCCCCUUCCUUGGCUACAAACUCUUUUAUCACACCUGCUUCUGGACUAGCCACAUCAAUUGUCACCUUAUCUGUCUCAAUUUGGGCAAUUGGCUCAUCAACUUCUACCCUAUCACCAGGAUUCUUCAAGAAUUUUGCCAAAGUG